rnacentral:lncRNA from 1 species
UGUUUCAAGGCAUCAGGGUUAUAGUAAUAUUGUAGAUCUCACCCCUUACUUUUACACUGGCAUACAAGUCUUUAACUAGACUUAUAAAGCUCCUUCCGAAAAUUGAACCAAAAUUGAGUGUGAACAACUAAGUCUUAAUCCAACUAGUUGGUAUCUCAUAAAUGGAUCAUCCAUUUUCUUUCUAUUCUCUUUUUAGCUAAUGUUCUUAGCUAAUCCACAUUGAUUUUGAAUGUAAGCUUUUUAAGACUUCCCCAAAAUGUGAAAAUGAGUCAUCUAUGCACACUACAAAGAAAAGCCUACUACACCCCCACGUAAAACUUGUCUUCAAAUCACGAUAUUUUUCACUAUCACUACAAGAAUUUUGCUUAUGUAAACCAUGACACACAACUUGCACAGAGGGAUAAGCACUUGGCUAAAAGCAAGAAUUAUCUAUUAUAUUCCUAUCCCAACGGUUCGAAUUGGAAGCGAAAGACAAACCUUUGGGGAAAUGUUGGUCAUCUCAAAGUAUCCUCCACGCUGUCCACAUUCACCCCAAUAUCCUUUGGAGACAGUGUGAAAUGAAACAAGCUGAAGCUCCUUGCUUAUAGGUGGGCCCAUAUCCAACAAAACCUUCAUUUUGGUGAAUAACAUUUGAAAUGAGUAUCGUAGGAUCUGAAGAUACAGGUGGGCCCAUAUCCAACAAAACCUUCAUAUUUGGUGAAUAACAUUUGAAAUGAGUAUUAUAGGAUCUGAAGAUACUGGUAGGUUAAUAAAUUAGUUAAGCAGAAAUUUAGCAUAUGUA